rnacentral:rRNA from 1 species
UUGUUCUUUANAUAGGGACUAGUAUGAACGGCACCACGAANACCAUGCUGUCUCCUUUUUCUAAUCAGUGAAACUGAUCUCCCCGUGAAGAAGCGGGGAUUAUUUUAUAAGACGAGAAGACCCUAUGAAGCUUAAAAUUUUCAUCAACUGCCCCCCAUACACCACCUUAACCUGGCAGACCUGAUUACUAAUUUUUGGUUGGGGUGACCGCGGAGCAAAAUUAAACCUCCACAAUGAAAGGAUUAAACCCCUUAUUCAAGAAUCACACUUCUAAAAAUCAAUAUAUUGACAUAAAUUGAUCCAAACCUUUGAUCAAUGAACCAAGUUACUCUAGGGAUAACAGCGCAAUCCAUUUCAAGAGCCCCUAUCGACAAAUGGGUUUACGACCUCGAUGUUGGAUCAGGGUGUCCUAGUGGUGCAACCGCUACUAAAGGUUCGUUUGUUCAACGAUUAAAACCCUACGUGAUCUG